GCGCCCGUAGCUCAAUUGGAUAGAGCGUCGGACUUCGGAUCCGAUGGUUGCGGGUUCAAGUCCUGCCGGGCGCGCCA
rnacentral:tRNA from 4 species